AUAGCAUGGUAUGGGCAUUUACAAAUGAGGUCUUUAAGUCUUUCCCAUGUUUCAUGAAAUAAUUCUCCAUCCAUUUGAAAAAAAACUAGUGAUGGCUUUUCUAAUUU